CUUGACUGUUCACUGACAGAUUCACAGGCACCAGGAAGGCCCAAGGACGGCUACACCCUUGGAUUUCUGAGAAGAUGAGUUUCCAGGUUUGGGCAGAGCUAUCUCUUCUUCCCUACUGGGACUGACAGAGGGAACCCGCAGGACUUGCUGGAACUCUCAGCCAAGCCUGCAGAGGGCUGUCUGAACGGUUAUCUGUUUUCCCAGGUGGGCUUGUGCGGGAUGAAAUUCACAUGUGAUGACCACACUUUAAAUAUCUCCCGUAGCUAACAAUGCAGCCACUUGUUUCCCGGAUGCUCUGCACUCGCUGCUCCUCUCUUCCUAAUUCAAGAGUCCAGAGACCAUCGGGAUAAAUCAGAAGGGCCUGGGAGCUGGGUCCCCAAAAGGAAGAUGCUGAGAGCAGGGGACUCCUACUGUCUCCCCCGCAGAGGGGAAGUGGGACUUUCUGAUAUCACAGCAAAAGAAAAAAAGGCCCAGCCUUAAAAUUCCAACAGCAGAUUCAAUGUCCAGUCUUCAAAACAGAGCAACUUCUUCCAAGGAGGUGAGUACGUCCACAAAUGCUCACUGGACAGGAAACACUGGGAAGGUGACCACGCAGGACGUGUCCCUGUCUUCAAGGUACUGGGAACAAAAGGUGAACAGAGACACGCAUCCAGGAGUGGCUCAUCUGCCCUCAGCCCACACUGCUCAGACUGGGCUCUGUGAGACUGUGGAGCAUCAGAGACCAAGGGAGGGCGGGGUAGUUUUUCAAUUUAUGAAGAGCAGAUAACUUUCGGGUCCAUGAUCCUAACUUCUGGGUGCAAAGCUUCUACUGCCCAGAGAAGAAUGCACCCAAGUCCUCUCCCCCUGUCCACAGACCCAGGCCAGCGAUUUCCCCCUCUUCCCUUUCCAUCUCAGCAGGACACGGUCAAAAUGAGGCCCUUCAUCAAACAGUGGAUUGGAACAGAUUUUCCUGCAUAUUCCCAAAUGCCCUCAGUCUCUGAGGCAUUCCCAGGGAGUGUGGUGUGGGCAGCUGUCCACACACAACCUCUGUGACCCAUCUGGGUGAGCAUCCCACUCCAGCAGCCUCCCGCCCCAGCCAUGGUCCUGAGAAGCUGACCACUGUGUCCACAGCCAAACACGAGGGAGGGAGGGGGCGAUUGCCACCUCGAAUCUCGCACAUGUGGGGCCUCCCCACGCUGAUGAGAUUUACCUCCAGCCCUCACCCCACCCCAACCCCAACCCACAAACACAAAAGCAACAACCACCAAAAUCCACUUUGCCCUGGGGGUCUGGACACUCUAAGAGGGAUCUUUACAAGCCAAAUUCCAUAUCUCCUGACAAGGAGCA
rnacentral:lncRNA from 1 species